AGGACGAACGCUGGCGGCGUGCUUAAAACAUGCAAGUCGAACGAGACCUUUGGUCUAGUGGCGAACGGCGGAGUAAUACAUAAGCAACCUGCCUCAAAGACCGGGAUAGCCCCUCGAAAGAGGGAUUAAUACCGGAUGUGGCCUUUUGUGGGCAUCCACGAAAGAUUAAAACGAGCAAUCGGCUUUGAGAGGGGCUUGUGGCCUAUCAGCUUGUUGGUGGGGUAAUGGCCUACCAAGGCUUCGACGGGUAGCGGGUCUGAGAGGAUGGAUCCGCCCGACUGGGACUGAGACACGGCCCAGACUCCUACGGGAGGCAGCAGUUGGGAAUCUUGCACAAUGGGCGAAAGCCUGAUGCAGCGACGCCGCGUGGAGGACGAAGUCUUUCGGAUGUAAACUCCUUUUCCAGGAACGAUAAUGACGGUACCUGGUGAAUAAGCCCCGGACUAACCGUACGUGCCCAGCCAAGCCGC
rnacentral:rRNA from 1 species